CUCUUGUGCGAGUCCUGAGCGCUGGACUCGGGGAGGCGGGUGGGGCUGGGGCUGUGUCCGCCUUUGGGUCCACACCAGGGUGCAGAUUUGGGGUCAGCUCCCGCCUCCUGUAGACAGUUGGAAAGGGGAACACGGACUCCUGCCCAAAAGCCCCCACUUUCCCAACUGAGCGAUGUGGAUGGCACUGAUUUCAGCACCGGGCUCGGUGAACCCUCUGUUGCCCAAGUGGUUCGAACGUUUAAAAUUGAAUUUAUUCCGCAGACCCAUUGCUGGUCUAAUUAAAACGUGGUACAGUUCCAGAGUGGACAGGAGACAGAAACACAGCCCGAAUGCCCGACCUUGAGAAUGUAGGACUCAAGUGCAGGCACCUAAAGGAGUUGAUCUUGGGGGUGAUCUGUGUCAGAUGGGGAGGGGCUGGGGAGCAGAAAUUGCUGUUUUCAUUCAGGGUGCAUAGGGGAUCUGGGGACCCGUGCUGAGAUGUUUGGGGUCUUAUUCCUAUUUUUUUUUAAUCAUUGUUUAUGUUUAAAUGGUGAGAAUUUUAAGGGCUCAAAACUCUUACAUUGAUUUAUUGAAAGUGAUCGUGGUACGACUCAUGUGCCAGCUUCUCCUAAACAUUUAUUUUUUUUUAAAGGUAUGUUUUUAUUUAUUUGAAAGAGUUACAGAGAGGCAGAGACAGAGAGAAGUCUUCCAUCCGCUGGUUCACUCCCCAGCUUUCUUAAAAGAAGCCUCUGGUGCAAUUGACAGUGGAGAAGAAGAAGAAGAAUCCUAAGAGCAAUGCCAUAGAAAGCAUCUCUCUUUAGAGUGUCAGUUAAAGGCUCCGAAAUUCAGGUGUCAUUUUUGUUGCAAGAGAAAAAGUUCAACUCCUUUUCUGGGAUUAUAGUUAUGACAUAAAUGAUCAAAUUACCUUUUCCUCCUGCUGGUUCCUGCUGAGCUGUUGAUGUGAUAGCUUUAAAUUGCUUAUCAUGUUUUUGACUAAAAAUGGUGUUUAAUUAAGGUAACUAAGAGCAUGAGAUAAUUCUAAUUGAUUAAUGUUAUUAAAAGAAUAGGGAAAAGUUUUUUUUGAAAGCUGUUCCAGUGGGCUGGCACUAUGGUGUAGAGGGGAAAUAGCCAUUGAAUUUCAGAGCCUUUAAUUGAUGCUCUAAUAGAGAAACACUUUCUAUGGCAUUAUGGCUAAGCCUCUGCCUGAGGUUCCUGUCUCUGCUGCUCUUUGUCCAAUCCAGUUCUCUGCUAUGGCCUGGGUAAAGCAGUGGAAGAUGGCACAGGUUCUUGGGCCCCUGCACCUGUGUGAGACCCAUUAGCAGCUCCAGGCUUAGAAUUGGCCCAGCUCUGACCACCGCAGCCAUUAGAGACAUGAACCAGCAGAUGGAAGACUUCUCUCUUCAUCUGCCUCUCUGUAACUCAGCGUUUCAAAUAAUUGCAAAAGCUGUUACAGAACUGCUUGGGUUUUUUCAUGUGAUAUAUGUUAUAUGUGUGUUAAUAAGCCAUACAUUUUAAAUUCAUGGGACUUCUAUAAAUCUUUGAUCAAUAGCUAAAAUUCGUUGGUGAAAUAAAGAUGUCUUUAUGUUUGUUAACAUAUGUUUGUGCCUGGGUUUACUGCCCAAUCUGGAACCUAUUUAUAUAGGUUAGAUGUUUAAGAUCAUGAAAAUAGAAAUCUAACCUAAGCUCAUGUCAGAGUACAAUAUAGUGUUCUUCUGUGUUUCAGGAUAACAGUUUAACCUCAUCAUGUUUGCCUGAUAUUUCAGUGUUCAUAGCUGAUGUAAAUAUUCUUGUUAAAUAUUAAUUAGAUGAAUAUAAAUGUGAUAAAUAUUCUGACAUCAAUUUAAUACUCUAGGUAGGUAGUUUAAAAUAUAUUAAAAUAUAAGCAUAACACAUGUUUUUGAUAAAGCUAUGGGGCACAAGGAACAUGUUUUGAUUAACAUAAUAUCCUACAAGUAAGUAACAAUACAUUAAAAGUUCGUAAAAAAACCUUUUGUGAGAAUAGGUUGACCAAGAUUAAAUGAAUAUUCUUUAUAUUUUUCUAAACUUUAAGCUGUUGUCGAAAGUACACUGAGAUAACACUAAAAUUUGGUCCCCUGUGUUAAAGCAACAAGGUUUUCUUAAAAUAGUGUUAGUGAUGGGGUUGAUGUUGUGGCAUAGUGGGUAAAGCCACUGCCUGCAAUGUUGGCAUCCUAUAUGGAUACCAGUUCCAGUCUGCUCCACUUCUGAUGCAGCUCUCUGCUAACGACCUGGGAAAGCAGUGGAAGAUGACGCUAGUGCCUGGGCUCUGCCACCAGUGUGGGACACCUGAAUGAAGCUCCUGGUUUCUGGCUUCAGGGAUGAUUCAGUUAAUCUCCGCAGCUUUUUUUUUUUUUUUUUUUUAUUUGUAUGACAGUCUUUAUUGACAACUUUAUUGGCCAAAAAGAAAAGGGAGAAGUUUUAACAGUUUAAUGCAGGACACUAUUCUGAUCUUGUCAGAUGAAAGAAGUCCCAUUUUAAAUUUGCAUCUACUUGUCAAAGAUAUACAAUACUGAAUCUGCAUAUGCAGGUUCCUUCAAGAAGUACUAAAUAGCACAAGUAAGAAUGAACUUCUCCCCCUUCAGUGCCUGGGAGAGUGCAAGUGAGGUUUCAGCACUCACAGGUCGCUGGUCAGCAUUCUCAACAGCAGAUGACCAAGUCCUAAGAGAAGUGGUCUGUCUCACCCAGACCAUCAAAGCCUCACAUACACUGAAAUUUUUUCCAUCAGAAAUAGGUGCUUCGGGGGCAGAAAAUAAGUUUGAGAUUUUCAUACACAACUUAACUAGGAGGGAAAAAAAAAAAACAACCAUAAACCCAGUAAAACUAGCAGCUUUGAUGCGAUGAAGACCCAACAUGGUCAAACUUCUUUCAUUAGGACAGGAGUGGAAGGCGAGAUUUCCUCAUGGGUUUACACUUCUCUCAUCCCCAAACCAGGCAGAAUCGGGCGGUUCAGGAACAGACCCACGGCCCCUCCUGGGGUGCCGAGGGUCUGGGGUCCCACUCCCUGAGCACGCUGAAGGACCCACAUGGAGCAGGGCCUAGGGACACUGUCCACUCGCACCCCACCACGGCAUGCGACGCCCACCGAGGAAGGGGCACGACGGCGGGCAGCGGAGCAGACACUGUAUUACCACGCAUAGCCCAACUCGGCCGACAGCGCAACGGAAGCUGCAGGGAGAAGAGCGCCAGACCUGCGCCCAAAGGCCAGCCAGACGCCAUCUCAGCCGGCCUCUAGAGGGCGCACGUCGAGGCGCGGCCUGGAGCCACGCCUCCCCCUCUGUGCGCGCAGCUCACCUACCUCCCGCGUGACGCCCCGCCCCCUGUCUCCGGACGUCACAAUGCUGGAGUUGCUCCCUCGGAGCGCACCCGCCCUUCACCCAACGCUUCGCUUCUCGAGGGCACAGGGAGACGUUGCAUCCCGCUGGGCGUCUUGGCGGAGAGGGGUGACAGCGCUCUCCAUCCCGGCCUGGCAGCUGCUGCCUGAAGCCUGGCUCCGUCUCAGCUCCGCAGGCUCUGCAGUGAGAGGAGCGCUCCCAAGGCCAGUGCCAGGUCUCCGACAAGAUGAAUGGCGUGUCUUUCAAAUUCAGCUGUGAAGUCUUCAGAGGUAGAAGUUUGAUCCUAAUUUCAAUGAGGUGGUCAUGCUCAACAGAACCUGGUAAGGUCCCUUCCAUUUAAGCUGUAACCUAUCUGAAGGGACUCCUAUGAAUGACUGGUUCAGGGAGACUCUGAGUUGGCUUGUCAGAGGGUUGGCUUUUGGAGACUGGGAUCCAGGGUUUGACAUUUUGGGCCAGUAUCCUUACAGGCUGCAGAGCGAUCUUUGAAAGACAGAAGCCAAACCUCUCCCCAUCGUUAUGAGGGGAUCAGGCCCCUUCCAUAGUUGUGUGGUCGAGUCCCUCAAUGAAACAGAGGCAACUGGGUUGGACCUGUGAGAGGUCUCCAGUGUGUCACUGCUGGUGGCUCUCCAGGGGGUGAGACUUGUAAGAGAUUUAAGUUGAAAGCAUUGUUAGGGUGCUCAUGGUGGGGGUGCCAUACUCCCUCCUCUGUUUUUUAAGCAUAGUGUUAAGGUCGUGCAUGGGAAGUUAGUGCACAGUGACUCCUGUGUUAAUUUAACAAUGGUCACUUUUAUUUUGUAACAAUUAACACUUUUAUGUGUGACAUCAGUGAUCACCUGAGGAACUAGACAUGAGCUGCCUAGGCUAUGGAAGCCUUCUGAAUCCUUAAAGUCCAUCAGUAUUUAGACAAGGCCAUAAGCAAGUAGAAGUUCUCCACUCCAUUGGGAGGAAAGCACCUCCUUUAAUGACCACUUCUUUCCACUGGGGUCUCACCCAGGGAGGUUUUCCGUGUAGGGGCACCUUUUCCCAAGAGGAGACAAGAUUCUGUCCCUUAGCAAGAAGGAUUUGGGUGGGUGAGUACAAUUUGUGAGAAUUGAUCUUUGGUAAAAUAUGGGCAACUCAAAUUCCUUCCAAAAGCCCAUGGAGUCCUAUUCCAGCUGAUUAGGACAACCUAUAAUUAUUGACCUCUGAGAACAAAAUUGGAAAUACUGCAUGGCCUUAUGAAUGCAUAAGAUUCCAAAGAAUGAUACCUAGGGACUCCCCUUUCAUCUUUCUCUGUCUCUACUAAGAUUUUAUUUAUUUAUUUGAGAGGCAGAGCUACAGAGAGAGGAAGAGACAAAAUUCUUCCAUUCACCACUCCCCAGAUGGCCGCAAUGGCCAGAGUUGGGCCAAUCUGAAGCUAGGAGCCAGGAGCUUUUUCAGGGUCUUCCAUGUGGGUGCAGGGGCCCAAAACUUGGGCCAUUUUCCUUUUCUUUCCCAGGCCUUAAGAGAGAGCUGGAUCUGAAGAGGAGUAGCUGGGACAGGAACCAGUGCCCACAUGGGAUGCCCGCACUACAGGGGGAGGCUUAGCCACUAUGCCACAGUGCUGGUCCCUCCCCUUGUUCUCUUAGAGCCAGUUGGAGCUUCCCACAGAAGCCCCUGGUGAAAUGGACUGUGGGGAGCUAGAAUCGUAAGAAUAAUGCCAUAGAAAGCAUCUCUCUAUUAGAUGUGAAUUAAAGGCUCUGACAUUCAGAUGUAGUUUUCAUUGCAUGAGAAAAUGUUGAACUCCUUUGCUGGGAUUAGGGUUGUUUUAUGAGAAAUAUUCAAGUUCCAUUUUUUUCCCCUGCUGGUUGCAGCUGAGUUGUUGAGGUGAUAGUUUAAAACUGCUCAUUAUAUUUUUCCCUAAAAAUUGUGUUUAAAGUAACCAAGAUCAAGAAAUAAUUCUAAUUAAUUAAUAUUAAGAGAAGAAGGUAAAAUUUGUUUAACAGUUUAUUUCACUGUGCUUGCCUGGUAUUUCAGUCUUUAUAACUCAUGUACAUGCACUUGUUAAAUGUAAACUAGAUGAAUCUAAAUGUGAUAAAUAUUUUGAUAUAAAUUUAAUGAGUGGACAUCUUAAAUUCUAUAGAAACAAUACAUAUGGGAAUAUUAAUUAUGAUUGUAUAAGUUGUUGAUAUACAGCAUAUGAAGAAAUUAUCUUUCGCCCCAUGUUUACAGCAGUUCAAUUCACAGUAGCUAAGAUAUGGAAUCAAUCCAGAUAUCCAUCAGCUGUUGACUGAAUAAAGAAAUUGUGGGAUAGAUACAUGAUGGAAUAUUAUGCAUCCAUAAAAAAGAAUGAAAUCCUAAUUUUGAAACAAAAAUGCAUGCAAUUGGAGAUUUUUUAGUUAGUGAAAUGAGCCAAAUACCAUGUUUUCUCUGAUUUGUGGUAACUAAUAUACAGCAUACAAAAAUGUAAUAUACAUGUGUGAAAUUUAUAUUUUGAGAUUUGAUGAUUGUUCAUAAUCCUUGUGUAUACUCCUGAGUCACAGUGAUUUUUCUACUUAUUACUUUUUAAUUCUUUAUUUAGUGGAGGGUUAAGCUUGUGAUUUUAUAAUUAGAAGUAUGUCAUUGCAAGACCUGAAAGAAAAAUAAGGAAGGAAAGAGGGGGGAGGGUGUAAGUGAGGGAGGUUAGGAGGGUGCGUGGGAAGUAUUAUUAUUAUUAUUAUUUUAAAUUUCUUUAUCACUGUCAAGAUAAAACAUCCCACAGUAUCCUGUUCACCUGUCUGUCAAGUUGCCACUUCACUCCCCACCCCCUUCCCUAUGUGAAAUGCGGUUGCUCUUCCUGUCAAACCAAUGAAGCUUCUCAUACUGCUAGGUUAACCACCACCACCUCACUAGCCAGGUAUUUCCUUGCCUUCUUGCUCACUGUAGCUUUGCCCGAACAUUUACUUGUUAGGAAACCUAUCAGGGGAGUCCAACUGAGGAACCCAACAUGAGGAACUCAUCUCCCCACCUCCACAUCCAGGUGGAAGGUGAGCUGCUGCCCCUAGGUUUUAAGCUUAUCUUCCAGUUGACUGCUUUUUAAGGAGUGUGAUUAAGACAUUACCUCCCCAAGGCCUCAGAGGCUUCAUGUUCUUUUCUAUUCUCUGAGAGACUAUUUCUUUGAGAGUCUAGAGUUCAUGUGAUCUACUGUUUCUUUCCCUGACUUUCAUCCAAGCGUAUCCAACGUUUUAGUCUCUAGGAGAGCAGCUAUCUUCUCAGGCUGUUUUCUCCCAUAACUCUCGACAGCUGUUCCAGUUUAAGGUUUUAGGGUUCUGAUUAAAGGACAGAAGUUAACUAAAAACUGUUCCCGAAGGUCAAGCUUGAAAGAGAAAACCUCUAGGUUUACAUACUUUAGGGAAUGAUUCUUAUGAAUGUAGUAAGUUUCCUAAAAGGAGAGUUCUGCCUAAAUAUCUAAUUUUAAAGAUUAAGAAACAAGUGAGUCCCCAGGAAGACUCGGAGGAAAAUCUCUAUGCAAGAUCCAGGUUAAUCCUUUCUUUAAGAACUCUUUAGAAACCUCUGGAGCUACCAUGGUCUCUGUUUUAUGCUUUGAGGAAGAGAGAAUACUAGAUUGAACGACUUCAAAAGGCUGGUCUGAAUUCCUAGGAAAAGGUGUUCUGUCUGCACACGCACACUAGUUCCCCUGUAUCCGAGUUCCUCAAUUUGUUUGCAUACAUUCCUAGCCUCAUUCUGUUUGUAUUCCACUUCUACAAUAAACUAACCAAGUUUUCCUCAAAAUCUUCCAGAAGUGUGUUGGUAUCACCCUCCUCCCCAGCCAUCUUCUUAGCCAUCUUCUUGGCGAUUGACCUGUACGCAGCAUGCCUGCAGCCCUGGACACUGCACUCAUGCGGACCACACAACACCCACCCACAAAGUGUCAGGAAGUAUUAUGAAUAUAUUUCCUUUAUGUAGAUUUUAAAAAUUUAAUUAAAAAUUAUUCAUGUGUAACAAACAAUUCAAGACUAGUUCAGAAUAAUGAAGAGCAAAAAUUCUGUAUGUAAGAACAAUCAUGGAAAAGGCAAAAACAAAAAAAUUGAAAAAGUAACAUAUAUGAAAAAGAACAAAAUUAUGUACUUUUUUUAAAGAUUAUUUAUUUGAAAGUCAGAGUUUCACAGAGAGAGGAGAGGCAGAAAGAGAGAGAAAGAGAGAGAGAGAGAGAGAAUGAGGUCUUGCAUCCACUGGCUCACUUCCCAACUGUGUGCAAUGGCCAGAGCUGAGUGGAUCCGAAGCCUGGAGCCAGGAGCUUCUUCUGGGUCUCCUACAUGGGUGCAGGAGCCCAAGCACUUGGGCCAUCUUCUGCUGCUUUUCCAGGCCAUAGCAGAGAGUUGGAUACGAAGUGGAGCAGCCAGGACUUGAACCAGCACCCAGAUGGAAUGCCUGCACUGGAGCAGUGGCUUUACUGUUACACCACAGCGCUGGCCACUGUACUUUUGUUAAAAAAAUGUAUUAGAGAUUUUUAGAGCAAUGUCUCAAAUGUAAAAAAUAAAUUAUCUGUAUAAAAAGAAACUAGGUAGGUAGUUUUGAAAAUAUUUUAAAAUAUAAGCAUGUGUUUUUGAAAAACUAUGGGAUACAAGAAAUAGAUUUUGAUUAAUAAUAAUAAUUAUCCUACAAGUAAGUAAAAAUAUUAAAAGUUUGUAAAAAAUGAAAUCUUUUGGGAGAUUGGUUUGACAGAUUAAAAUGAUUUCUGUGUUUCUAAAUCUUAAGCUGUUCAAUCAAAAGUACAUAACACUAAAAUUUAGUUCCCUAUGUUAAAGCAAAAACAUUUUCUUAAAACAUUGUUAGUAUUGAGGUUGAUGUGUCGUAGUGGGUAAAGCCGCUGCCUGCAGUACUGGCAUCCCAGUGGGCAGCAGUUCAUUUCUGACUGCUCCACUUCGGAUCCAGCUCUCUGCUAAUGGCCUGGGAAAGCAGCAGCAGAUGACCCAAGUGCUUGGGCUCUCCCACAAAUUUGGGAAACCUGAAUGAAGCACCUGGUUCCUGGCUUCAGUCUGGCCUGAUCCAGACCAUUGCAGCCAUCUGGGGAGUGAACCAUCUGCUGAUGGAAAUCCCCCUCACCUGUUUGUCUGUAAGUCUGCCUUUCAAAUAAAUACAUACUUUUUUUUAAAAGAUGUAUGUAUUUAUUUGAAAGGCAGAGUUACAGAGAUGCAGAGGCAGAGAGAGAGGGGUGGGAGGGGAGAGGUCUUCCAUCUGCUGUUUCACUCCCCAGAUGGCCGCAACAGCCGAUACUGUUUUGAUCUGAAGGCAGAAGCCAGGAGCUUCUUCCAGGUUUCCCACAUGGGUGCAGGAGCCCAAGCACUUGAGCCAUCUUCUGCUGCUUUCCCAGGCCAUAGCAGAGAGCUGGAUUGGAAGUAGAGCAACCAGGACUCGAACUAGCACACAUAUGGGAUGUUGGCACUGCAGACGGUGGCUUUACCUGCAGUGCCACAGUGCUGACACAUAAUUCUUUUAAAAAUAUAUUGCUAGUAAAUGUUUUAAAAAUUCUUGAUCUUUAAGAUAUCUAAUACAUUUUCAACUAUUUUGUAAACUACAGCUUCUACUUUUAGUUUCCAUUUCAUUGGUAACUCUUCCCUCAUUUUUAAAAAGAUUUAUUUAUUUAUUUGAAAGGCAAAGUUAGAGAAAGAAAAAAAGAGAUACAGCAAACUUCACCUGCUGGUUCACUUCACAAAUGGCCACAAUGGAUACAGUUGGUCUGAUCCAAUGCCAGGAGUUUCAUCCUGGUCUCACACAUCUGUGCAGGGGGCCAAAUACUUGCAUCAUGGAUAUAGGUAUUCUACAGGUUGUAUGACACUUACAAAUGUCUGCUGUUCCUGGUGUGAUGUCAUCUGUUGUGACAUCUUAAUAAUGAAAAAGACCUGGGUUGGUGCUGUGGUGUAGUGGGUAAGGCUGCUGCCUGAAGUGCUAGCAUCCCAUAUGGACACUGGUUCAAGUCCCAGCUGAUCCACUUUCAAUCCAGCUUCUGCUAUGGCCUGGGAAAGCAAUAGAAGAUGGUCCAGAUUCUUGGGCCCCUACACCUGCUUGGUAGACCUGGAAGAAGAUCCUGCCUGCUGGCAUCGGAUCUGCACAGCUCUGGCCAUUGUGGCCAUCUGGGAAAUGAACCAGUGGAUAGAAGACCUGUCUUUAUCUGCCCAGAUUCUCUGUAACUCUGACUUUCAAAUAAAUAAAUCUUAAAAAAAAAAAAAAAAAAAAAGACGGGACUGGCAUUGUGGUGCUGCAGGUUAACACUGUGGCCUGAAGCACUGGCAUCCACUUCCAAUGCAGCUCUCUGCUUUGGCCUGGGAAAGCAGUGGAGGAUGGCCCGAGUACUUGGGACCCUGCACCCAUGUCGGAGACCCAGAAGAAGCUCCUGGCUCCUGGCCUCGGAUUGGCACAGCUCUGGACAUUGUGGCCAAUUGGGGAGUGAACCAUCGGAUGGAAGACCUCUCUCUGUCUCUCUGCCUCUCCUCUCUGUGUAACUCUGACUUUCAAAUAAAUAAUAAAUUAAUUAAAAAAAAAUAAAAAGACCUGGCCACUGUGAAAGAUCCUUGGGGUUGUCCUGUCCUUGUCAAAAUACUAUAUACAAUCAAUAAAACUAAGUUACCAAUAAACCAAUCAACUGUCAUUCAAGUUUUAUUCCUGGUGAUUUUAUGUGCUUUGUCAUCCACAUUUCUGGUUCUUACUAAAAACAUUUACAACCAAAAAGAAUGUAAGAGAUGUAGAUUUCUGAUGAAGUGAACUAAAUAAUUAAAAAAUUCUGAUUAAAGAAAUCUGACAGAUUCAUAAACCUGCUACUAUAGAUCACACAAAAGAAUAAGUUCAUAGGGACUGAAAUCGAUCAAGUUGUAGGUUCCUGUGUCUUUAAACAUUGUUGGUUCUCUAUUAAGAUGUUUUGCUUGAAGGCUUAAAGAUUUUCCUGUGGUUGUUAGAGUUUAUAAUUCUUUGGUGGACUAUGCUUUUAUAAACAAAAGUAAAAACAUUUAACUUUCUGCUUACUAAAUUCAUCCAAAUUCAAAAACUACUUAAUAAGAAUGGCUUACAUGGCAGUGUAAUUAUUUUGAAAAGUCCAUUAAAAUAUGUUCUCUUAAUAAAAUGCAAUUUAAACAAUGAUAAAUGUAAAAAUAAACAAAAAUGCCUAACUUCAUAAUCCCAGCAUUUCAUGGAGUAAAUAAAAUGAUCCCUUAUUAAUAGAUCUUGGGUUUGGUAUUGUGUAACAAGCAAACCCGCUGUCUGUGGUGCUGCCAUUCCACAUGGGUACUGUUUUGAGUCCUGGCUGCAACACUUAUGAUCCAGCUCAUUGGCAGCUCAUUGGUAAGGCUCCAGGGAAAGCAGUGGAAGAUGGCUCAAGUGCUUGGUCUCUUGCACCCACAUGGGAGACCCAGAAGAAGCUAUAGCUCCUGGCUUCCACCCAGGGCAGCUCUGACCACUAGGGCCAUAUGGUGAGUGAACCAGUAGAUGGAAAAUUCUCUCCUGCCUCUCUCUUUCUCUCUCCCUUUCUCUCCCUUCCUCCUUCCCUCUCCUUCACUCUAUCUCUCCCAUUCAAGUAAAUAAAUAAAUCUUACUAAAAAAUAAAUCUUAACACUUAAAUGAUUAGGUAAUGUAACUUAAAAAAUAAGACUUCCUUGGUUAGGAAGUCUUCCUACCUUAAAACAUUUCUUAAAUCUUAUAUUAAAAUGUGAAGAAUCAACUGUUUACUAUUCUUAUAUAAACUCAGUUAUCAUAUGCCUGCUGUUAGAUGGUUUACUUUUUUAAAGAUUUAUUUAUUUAUUUGAAAGGCAGAGUUACAGAGAGGAAGAGGCAGAAAUUGGGAAAGAGAGAGAGAGUGAAAGAGAGAGAGAGACAGGGACAGACAGACAGGUCUUCAAUCCACAGAUUCACUCCCCAUUGUCCGCUAUUGCUGGAGCUGGGCUGAUCUGAAGCCAGGAGCUUCUUCCAGGUCUCCCACCCAAGUGGCAGAAAACCCAAGUACUUGAGCCAUCCUCUGCUGCUUUCCUAGGCCAUAGCAGAGCUGGAUUGGAAGUGGAGCAGCCGGGACACCAACCGGUGCCCAUAUGGGAUGAUGGAAGUGUGGGCUGCAGCCUUACCUGCUUCAACACAGCACUAUCUGUUUAUGGUUUUUAAGACACAAACUUGAUUUCUUGUUGGACUGCUGUGAUUUCUUUCUUUGGAGCUGCAUGCUUGUCACCAGUCAGCAGUGUGUCACCAGUAAUAAUACAUGUCAGAAUCAGGCCAGAUAAUGCUGUCCUCAUGGUUCUCUCCUACAGAAAUGAUUAAUUUCAUUUUAGGAAUAGACUGCAAGUAAAUUUGGUCUAAAAACCCCUUCUUCUAAAACCUUUAUGUUACUAACAUAUGUGGCCAUAGGGUUUAUGACAUUGACUGGGUUGUCAACUUUUUCCACCCCAACAUGGGACCAAAUCAGAACAAACACCAGGAACAAGUUCAUAUGGAGCAGAAGAGCAAAUAGAGUCUGGUUACUACUAUGACAGAUAAGUAGUGUUCUUAAAAAAUGAAAAGAGGAGGGGAGAUAUUAACAUUAAUAUAUUGUUGCUGAUACCAACAUUAAACUAUAUAGGCCAAAAGGUUAUAUAAAAAAGUGUCAUUAUAUAUGAAUGUCCAAUAACAAAUUUGCCAAAAAAAAAAAAAAAAGAUCUGCCAGGACUACAACCUCUAAAGAGGGCUACUGUUGCAAAGAUGAAAUUGGGGAGGUGAAGUUUUUACAUUUCCAUGCUUUUAUGUCAUUCUGUUGAUCUGUGUGUGUCUAUGGCCACCAAUGUUCUGGUAACUAACAGGCCCACUUGCUUUGCCUGUUACCCACAAUCCAGUUAUGCUCAUGCUUGCCUCUGAGACACUUUUGUCUGUAAACCCACAUAAGCAACUGGAGGACACAACUAGAUAUGGCUGUUGGUGGAUGCAGCUGUAUGUGGGUGUGUGGCUAUGUGUGGAUAUAUGCAGAUGUCUCUCUGUGUGAUUCUGAUGCUGCCAUGGACACAAUGUGGAUAUCUUCUGUGGCCCCACUGCUAUCAGGGUCUAAUUUCUGCUCCUUACAAACUUCUCCUCACCACUGUGAGUAAAGAAAGUUGGGCAAGACUCCCUGAGACCCAACAUCCAGAGGAUAAGGGACCAACAGAUGAGGAAGAGGCAGAUGCUGCAGUUUCCUGAGCCCAAGCACAGCCAACAGGAUGUGGAGACACAGCUACAUAGACACCUCCAAAGGAAGUCAGAGAGAAGAAAGCUCAGCCAGUGGUAAUCCAUGCUCUGGAAGAGAGGGGUUAUCACCUUCCAAAUAGCACCCAAUGUCAAAAGACCAUGAAGAAACUGUUAUGACUGAGUUGAAAUGCAGUGUUAUUACAGGUUUUUGAGUCCUUCCAGGUUAUGUGGUUUAGGGGUGAACACAAAGCAAUGAAUGUUUCUAACUUUGCAUUCAGCCUCGAUGCCCAGACCUGACAUCACUGUAUGUUUUGAUUUGGUAAUAAGUGGUUGAAUGUAAUGGCCAAUGUUUGUAAUAAUACAUGUGCUCCAUUCUGUAAACAUUGGAUAAUAACCUGUGAUUCACCUGGGAGAUGGCAUAUAGACUACUGGACUUUUGCCAUCAUGAGAUGAAUACAUCCUGAUGGCUACAGAUACCAUAGUGGACUGAACAGUUUUGUAGCCAUGACCAACAGAUUGGCUUGUUCCAUGUGCAACAAGUUGCCUUGCAGCUUUGCAACUCAGCUACUUUGGAAGGUAGCCAAAGCCACUGACUCCACUGGACUUGGUUAUGAAAGUACAUUUGGCCUCAUCUAGAGACUUUAGCCCAUGAGCAUGUAACGAAUCCCAAUGAUGGUUGGAGGUAUUCUAUGUUAUGUGUUACACUUUUGUGUUGUAACUUGCUCUAUUGUUUUGGCCUUUGGACUCAAUGUUCCACUCCCCGUUGUACUCCUUGCCUUGUAUUUGGAUCUAUCUGGAAGAUGAGGCAAACACAGAUUAUACAGUGAGGAUACUUGAAGUGGCAAAGAGUUGAGAGAUUGAACUUGAGAAGAUGAAGGUACCAAGUUCCCACACCGCCAUGCCCUCCUUGCCUCCUUAUCUGUGUGCCUCUUUGACCAAUAAUGUCCUGGUAACCAAGAGGCCACCUGCUUGGCCUGCUGCCCAGAACUCUGUUAUGUAAUUAUCUGGCUCUGAGCCACUAUUGUCUGUAAACACACAUAGCAACUGAGGGCGUGAUUAGGCAUGGAGUUGUUGGACACGGCUAUAUGUGGAAGUAUGGCUAUUUGUGAAUGUAUGCAAUUAUCUGUGUGUGUGUAUGACUGCCACCACAAACACAAAUGUGGAUAUCUACUGUGGCCAGAGUGCCACUGGGUCUAGUGUCUGUUCUUUGUAUUUCUCAGUGCCACUGUGAGUUCAAGCACUGGGCCAUGACCCCUGAGUACCAAGAUGCAGAGCCCAGGAAUCAAGUUUGAAGCAAAGGGAGAUGGUGCAGCUACUGGAGCCCAAGAACAGCCCAAAGGACAUGGAGAGAGUUCAACACAUCCACAAGUGACUUAGGCAAAGAGAAGACAGUGCAGCCAGUGGUAGCUGGGGACAAAAGAGAAUGGCAUCCAUGCCCUAGAAGGGAGGGGUCAUCAGACUCCAGGUUCACCCAGUGCUAAAAGACUGCCCAACAAGUAAUAAUUGAGUCCUCUGGUGAUGAGGACAAUUUGAAGCCUUCAGUGUUAUGUAAGUUUCCUGAUUCCACUGGAUUUUGGGGUUUAGGGGUGGACAGGCUCCUGUUCUUGGGGUAAACCUGAAACAAUGAAUGUUUGUAACUGCACUCAGUCUCAGGGCCCAGAACUGACACCUCUUUAUGUUUUGAUUUGUUAAUAAGUGGUUUAAUGUGAUGGCCAAUGUUUGUAACAAUAUAUGUUCUCCAUUCUGUAAACUACAGGAUGUUAAACUGUGAUUCACCUUGAGAUAACAGAUAGACUUCUGGACUAUUGCACCUCCCCCCCUCCCCCGCCCCCCAGAUAGAUACAACCUGAUUGCUACAAAUACCCUUGUGGACUGAACAGCUUUGCAACAGUGACCAGCAGAUUGGUUUGUUGGAUGUGCAGUAAUUUGUCUGCCAGCUCUGAAGCUCAUCUACCUCAGAAGGCAACCAUAACCACUGCCAACACUGGACUUGGUUAUGAAACUACACUUAGACUCAUCUAGAGACUUUAGCCCAGGAGCAAUAUAAUGGAACCCAGUGAGGGUUGGGGGUAUUCCAUGUUAUGUCUUAUACCUUCUUGUUGAAACUGUGUUUUUAAUAUGGCCGUUGGAUGUAACGUUCUACAUCUCAUGUGUACUCCUUCCCUUUCACUCAGAUCUCUCCAAUAGAGCAGGCACCUGUAUAUUGUACAACCACGAUACUUGAAGUGGCAGGGUGUGGAGAAGAUGAAUUUGGGAAGAAGAAGGUAUCAAGUUCCCACACUUUUAUUUCCUUGUGUCCUUAUCUCUCGGCCUUAGUGGCAAUCAAUGUCUUGGUUAACAACAAGCCCAACUAUUGUCUAAUUGUUAGGUAAGGGCUUGGCUGCAGGUCUCCAUUUUCUGUUAACCUCCAUAAGCACCUGGCAACAGGGGUAGGUGAUGCUAUUAUCAAACACUACUGUGCUUUCUAUAGCACUACAUACACUAGACCUAACUAAACUUCCUUUUAUCCAGUAAACUGAUAGUCCAAUUUUCACCAGGGCGAUUUUAAGUUUUUUUCAUCCACAGCUCUGUUUCACACUAAAUACUUUUAGAAUCUGGAAUGGCUCUAUCAAAUAUUUAUAAACAUAGGCUCCCAACAAGGUGAACUAAAAAUUUCAGAAAUUCUGAUGAAAAAACUGACAGAUUGUUGGAACUGCUACUGUAGGUCAUACAUGAGAUAAAAGUAAGCACAUAGAGAAUCAAACUGGACAGAUUGUACCUUCCUGCCAUUUCUGUGUCUGUUACUGACAACAUUGUUGGAUCUCUCCUUGUUUUAUCUCAAGGCUUAAAGAUUUUCAUGCCAUUUAUAGAGUUUAUAACACUCUGGUGGACUAUGUUUUUAUAGAGAAAAGCCAAAACCUUUAUAUACCAUUCCUUACUACUAAAUUCCUCCAAAAUUAGAAACUGCUUAUGGAAAUUUUUGGUUUCCAUGAUAAUGCAAUUAUUCUCAAAUUCCAUUAAAAUAAUCUGUCCUGUUAAUAAUAAGGUAGAACUUAAAACAUUGAUGGGUUUAAAAAGAUACACACAACACUUGACUUCAAUGGGUCCCAGCCUUUUAGUGAGUAAACUGAUCAAUUCUUAAUAGCUCUUAAACAUCAAAAGGCUUGAUGCUGUAGCUUUAAAAAACAGCUGUGGUGCAGUAGUUUAAGCAUACAACUGUUUCGCCAGUGUCCCACAUGGGUACGGGUUUGAGUCCUGGCUGCUCCACUUCUGAUCCAGCUCUCUGCUGAUGGCCUGGGAAAGCAGCAGAAGACGACCUAAGUGUUUGGUCUUCUACAAGGCAUGUGUGACCUGGAAGAAGCUCCUGGCUCCUGGCUUGGGAUCAACACAGCUCCAGCUGCUGCAGCCAUUUUUGGAGGGAACUUCAGAUGGAAAACCUCUCUCUCUGUAACUCUGACUCUCAAGUAAAUAAAUCAUUUUUUUAAAGAUUUAUUUACUUGAGAGUCAGAGUUACACAGAGAGAGAAGGAGAGGCAGAGAGAUAGAGAGAGGUCUUCCAUCUACUGGUUCACUCCCCAGAUGGCUGCAAUGGCCAGAACUGUGCUGAUCCUAAGGCAGGAGCAGGAGCUUCCUCUAGGUCUCCCACGUGGGUGCAGGGGCCCAAGGACUUGGGUCAUCUUCCACUGUUUUUCCAGGCCACAGUAAAGAGCUGGAUCAGAAGGUUUUGAACCUGUGCCCAUAUUAGAUUCUGGCACUGAAGGUUGCGGCUUUACACACUGUGCCGCAGUGCUGGCCUCUUGAGUAAAUAAAUCUCUAAAAAAAUGAACAAUUUAAGAAUUCCUUGUUUAGUCUUUCUAAGUUAAAACAUUUUUAUAAAUCUGAUAUUAAAAUAAGAGGAAUCAACUUGUCUUACUGACAUUGCAUGGUCUAUUAUAAUGACUACCAUUAGAUUGCAUAUAGUUUUUCAGAUACAAACUUGACUUGCUGUUCUGUUGUUGAUUUGUUAUGUGUUCCUUCAGAGCUUCAUGUCCAUCACCUGUCAGUUUUUUUCAAAAGUCCAAUCCCCUGCCAGAUGAUGUUGGUCUGAUAUUUUGACAUGAUGGUUCUUGCCUACAGAACUGAUAAUAAUUUUAGGAAUAGACUGCCAGUAAACUUUAGCUGCAAACCCCUUUUCUAAACCUCUAGGCUGCUCAUAUAUGCGGCUGAAGGGGUUUAUAACACUGACUCUUGGUUGGUUGUCAACCAUGUCUAUACCAAUAUGGGUCCAAAUCCGAGCAAUGUCCAGGAAUAAAUCCAUCUUGACCAGAAGAGCAAAAAAAUAUAGCUACAGGAUGACAAGUCAGACAGUAAAAACUAUUUCAAACUUACUAACAAAUAGGGUAGGUUUCUAAGUGACUGGUUGGGAUGCCCCAUUCCAUAUCAGCAAAAUUAGUUCCAUACUGAUCACCACUAGACAAGCAGUUCACCAGUGAUAAGAGUCAGUGAAAGGAAAUAGGUUUCUUUAUUUAAGAUUUACUUAUUUGAGAUGCAGAGUUAUAGACACUAGGGAGAUACUAGAGAACGAUCUUCCAUCUGCUUGUUCGCUCACCAAAUGGCAGCAUUGGCCAGAGCUGGGCUGACAAGGAGCCAGAAGUUUCUUCUGUGUCUCCUGCAGGGUUGAAGGGGUGCAAGCAUUUGGGCCACCUUCCAUUAUUUUCCCAGGCCAUUCAGCAGUGAGCUGAAUCAGAAGUGAAGCAUCUGGAACUUGAACUGGCACCCAUAUGGGAAGCUGGUGCCACAGACAGAAGCUUAAUCUACUGUGCCUCAGCUCCAGCCUCAGGUACACAGGUUUUUUCCAUUCUUCUUCUUCUUCUUCUUCUUUCUUCUUUCUUCUUUCUUCUUCUUUUUUUUUUUUUAAGAAGCCAACAUUCAUUGAAAAGAGCAUAUUUGAAAUCAAAGGAUUCUGCCUUUUCUAAGGAUUCUGGCUUCUUUAAUGAAACUGUCUCCGCAUCCACUCUCAUGAGUUGGUUGUUUAGUAGCUAGCAGCCUGGGCCUAAUUUUGAGUGUAGCAAAUGAUGAGCCAACCAGGAGUGGGAGUCUGGGCUUCACAUGUGGCUCAGGAAAGGUGAGCACUGCCUGUGUCCACCAGGCUGCUCUUGGUGAGCUGACCCCAUGCCUGGGAUUUCAGGGAUAUCCCAGUAGCCGCUGAGCCCAUUUUCUUGGAUGCCUUCCCUUCUGUCCUCAUUGUGAUGUAGCUGCCUAGUAUCAUUUUAUUGGUACAAGUAAAUGGUACUUUUGGGAGUCAGGGGGCUCCAAGAUUGGGUCAGUUGAAAUGGGUGCAUACUGGGAAUCUAUUUGGUCUGCCAUUUGUUUGGGCUUCCUGGCAGUUGGACCUCUUUUAGUUCAUUUGUUCAUAAAAGCAUAAAUCUAAGAUCAUGUGAAAAUACAAUAGUGUUUUGUAUUUCAAGGAUAAUAAUUUGACUAUUCUGCCUGACAUUUCAGCUUCAUAACUACUGUAAAUAUUCUUGUUUAAAUUAAAAAAAUGUAAAUCGAGAGGCCAGCACUGUGGCUUAGCGGGUAAAGCUUGCAGUGCCAGCACCCCAUAUGGGUGCUGGUACAAGACCUGGCUCCUCUACUUCCCAUACAGCUCUCUGCUAUGGCCUGGGAAAGCAGUAGAAGAUGGCCCAAGUGCUUGGUCCCCUACACCUGUAUGGGAGACUGGAGGAACUCCUGGCUCCUGGCUUCAGAUCGAUGCAGCUCCAGCUGUUGAGGCCACUGGGGAGUAGACCAGCAGAUGGAAGACUUCCCUCUGCCUCUGCCUCUGCCUCUCUGCAACUCUUCCUUUUAAAUGAAUAAAUAAUUUUUUUCAAAAAGGUAAAUCAGAUGAAUAUAAAUGAGAAAUAUUUCUAAAUAUAAGUUUAAUGAAUUGCCUUCUUAAAUUCUGUAAAAACAGUAUAUUUGGGUCUGUUAACAAAUAUGCUUUUAUACAUUAUUGAUAUACAGCAUAUAAAAUAGUUAUCUGUACAUCUUUCUGUAGCAGCUCAAUUCACAGUAGCUAAGAUAUGGAGUAAGCCCAGAUAUCCAUUGAUAGCUAGGUAAAGAAAUUGUGUUUCACAACAAAAUGGAUACUGUUGGAGACCAUUAUCAUUAGUGCAAUCAGCCAGUACCAAAAGACAAAUGUGUUUCCUCUGAUUUGUGGAAAUUAAUGUUUCGAGUAAAAAAAGUAAUGUAUUUGAGUUAAAUUCACAUAUUGAGAUUUGAUUUUUGUUUGUAGUCCUUUUAUUUACUUCUGAGGAACAGUGGUUUUUCUAUUUACUACUUGUUGAAUUCUAUUUAAUGGAGGGUUAAGCUUGUGAUUACAAAGUAAAUUGAAAGUAAGUCAUUGCAAACAUUAAAAGAAUAAUGAGAGGAAGGAGGAGGGAGUGUGGGACUCAGGGAAGGAGGAUGGGAAGUAUCUAUGUGUUUUUAAAACUGCAUAUAUGAAAUACAUGAAAGUGUUCUCUUUACAUACAUUUUAAAGUUUAAAAAAUGAUAUAUGACAAACCAUUGAAGAUUACUUCCAAUAACUAAGGGUAAAAAUUCUAUAUGUAAAAGCAAUUAAACAGGAAAAAGAAAAAAAUGAAAUAAAAAUACUCCAAAAUUUAAUAACAAAAAGGAAAAAUAUUUGAAAAAUUAAAAAUCUAUAUGUACUUUUGUUAAGGAAAUGUCUUGCUUUUAGAGAUUUUAAAGGAUUGCUUCAUAUUGAAAUUAAAACUGUGACAAUAUGUAAAUAAAAAGCAGGUAGGAAAAAUUUUAAAAAUAUAAACAAAAAUUUGUGGUUUGUAAGUAAAGCUAUGGGAUAUAAGAGAUAUGUUUUGAUUAGUAAGAAUAGUUAUCCUAAAAGUCAGUAAAAAUUUAUUAAAAGUUUGUAGAAGAAAUCUUUUGUGAUAUUAGGUUGAGAUUAAAAGAAAAUUAUAUGUUUCUAAAAUGUAAGGUUUAAUAUCAAAAGUACACUGACAUAAAACUAAAACCUGUCCUCCUAAGUUAAAUCAGCAAACUUUUCUUAAAAUAUCGUCCAUAAGUGCUUUUAAAAAGUCUAGAUCUUUAAUUUUUUUAAAAUUUAUUUGACAGGUAGAGUUAUAGACAGUGAGAGAGAGACGGACAGAAAGGUCUUCCUUCCAUUGGUUCACUCCCCAAAUGGCUGCUAUGGCCAGCACUUUGCUGAUCUGAAGCCAGGAGCCAGGUGCUUCUUCCUCGUUUCCCACAUGGGUGCAGGGGCCCAAGCACUUGGGCCAUCCUCCACUGCACUCCCGGGCCACAGCAGAGAGCUGGACUGGCAGAGGAGCAACCGAGAGUAGAACCCAACACCCAUAAUGGGAUGCUGGCACCACAGGCAGAGGAUUAACCAAGUGAGCCAUGGUGCCAGCCCUAGAUCUUUAAUUUUAAAAUGUUUGCUAACACAUUAUCAACCGUUUUGUAAAACAUAGCUUCUCCUUCAGCAGUUUCCAGUUCAUUGUGAACGCUUUCCUUCAAAUUAUUUUUU